UGGGGAAUAUUGCGCAAUGGGCGAAAGCCUGACGCAGCAACGCCGCGUGAGGGAUGAAGGUCUUCGGAUCGUAAACCCCUGUCGAAUGGGACGAAAGACUCGCGAGUGAAUACUUCGCGAGAGUGACGGUACCGUUAAAGGAAGCCACGGCUAACUCUGUGCCAGCAGCCGCGGUAAUACAGAGGUGGCAAGCGUUGUUCGGAAUUACUGGGCGUAAAGGGCGCGUAGGCGGCCCUCUAAGUCAGACGUGAAAUCCCCCGGCUUAACCUGGGAACUGCGUCUGAUACUGGAGGGCUUGAGUAUGGGAGAGGGAUGUAGAAUUCCAGGUGUAGCGGUGAAAUGCGUAGAUAUCUGGAGGAAUACCGGUGGCGAAGGCGGCAUCCUGGACCAUUACUGACGCUGAGGCGCGAAAGCUAGGGGAGCAAACGGGAUUAGAUACCCAAGUAGUCCCUGAGCGGGCUGGCAAGGCGCAU
rnacentral:rRNA from 1 species